UUAAGUAAGGAAGGGCGUACGGCGAAUGCCUUGCCACUCGAAACUGAAGAAGGACGCGCCAAACUGCGAAAAGCUCCGUGAAGCUGUAAGGAAGCGAAGAAGCGGAGGUGUCCGAAUGGGGGAACCCGGCAGCAGACAUGAGCUGUCAUCUGCAGGUGAAUACAUGGCCUGCAAGAGAGGUACCCGGCGAACUGAAACAUCUAAGUAGCCGGAGGAAAAGAAAACAACAGUGAUUCCCUGAGUAGCGGCGAGCGAAAGGGGAGAAGCCCAAACCGGUUGAAGGACCGGGGUUGAAGGACCAUGACAUGGCAAGAACGAGGAUAGGAGAACGGGAUCGAAAGCCCGGCCGAAGAAGGUGAAAGCCCUGUAACCGAAAUCCAAGGGAAGCCUAAUGGGAUCCUGAGUACGGCGAGACACGAGAAAUCUUGUCGGAAGCAGGCGGGACCAUCCGCCAAGGCUAAAUAUAAACGAGUGAGCGAUAGUGAACCAGUACCGUGAGGGAAAGGUGAAAAGAACCGCGGGAGCGGAGUGAAAGAGAACCUGAAACCGUAUGCCUACAAGAAGUCAGAGCCCGUUAAGGGGUGAUGGCGUGCCUUUUGUAGAAUGAACCGGCGAGUUGCGACAGACUGCGAGGUUAAGGAGGAAAGACCGGAGCCGAAGCGAAAGCGAGUCUUAAGAGGGCGAAAGUAGGAUGUUGCAGACCCGAAACCGGGUGAUCUAGCCAUGAGCAGGUUGAAGUUGAGGUGAAACUCAAUGGAGGACCGAACCGACUACCGUUGAAAAGUUAGCGGAUGACUUGUGGCUAGGGGAGAAAUUCCAAUCGAACCCGGAGAUAGCUGGUUCUCCCCGAAAUAGCUUUAGGGCUAGCGUCGGAAAGAACCUUAGUGAAGGUAGAGCACUGAAUGUGUGAUGGCCCCAUCCCGGGGUACUGAAUACAAUCAAACUGCGAAUGUCAUUAAGGAUGUCCGGCAGUCAGACUGUGAGUGAUAAGGUCCAUGGUCAAGAGGGAAACAGCCCAGACCGCCAGUUAAGGUCCCAAAAUACAGGCUAAGUGGAAAAGGAUGUGGGGAUGCCCAGACAACUAGGAGGUUGGCUCAGAAGCAGCCAUCCUUUAAAGAGUGCGUAACAGCUCACUAGUCGAGUGACCCUGCGCCGAAAAUGUACCGGGGCUAAGCCUGAUACCGAAACUGCGGAUUGUAGGAAACUAUAGUGGUAGGGGAGCGUUGUAUACGAGUAGAAGCCGUACCGUGAGGAGCGGUGGAUUGUAUAGAAGUGAGAAUGCCGGUGUGAGUAGCGAGAUGUAGGUGAGAAUCCUACACACCGAAAGCCCAAGGAUUCCAGGGGAAGGUUCGUCCGCCCUGGGUAAGUCGGGACCUAACGCGAGGCCGAAAGGCGUAGUGGAUGGAAAGCAGGCGAAAGAUUCCUGCACCCGUAUAUGGAGCGAAGGAGUGACGGAGACGGAUAGUGUGACCCUCUUAAUGGAUUGAGGGCGAAGCGAAGCGGCUGGUUACCAGGCAAAUCCGGUAACCUUAAGGCUAGAGCGUGACAGGUAAGCGAAAUCUUAGGAAAGUAGCGAAGCACAUGAUGACGGCUUCCAGGAAAAGCUUCUGGCAAUGCAUAUGCGGCCCGUACCAAAACCGACACAGGUGGGCAGGGAGAGAAUCCCGAGGUGAGCGAGAGAACUGUUGCCAAGGAACUCGGCAAAAUGACUCCGUAAGUUAGCGAGAAGGAGUGCUUAAGCAAUUAAGCCGCAGUGAAGAGGCCCAAGCGACUGUUUAACUAAAACACAGCUCUCUGCGAAGUCGCAAGACGAAGUAUAGGGGGUGACACCUGCCCGGUGCUGGAAGGUUAAGAGGAUCUGUUAAGAGCGAUCUGAAGCAGUGAUCCGAAGCCCCAGUGAACGGCGGCCGUAACUAUAACGGUCCUAAGGUAGCGAAAUUCCUUGUCAGGUAAGUUCUGACCCGCACGAAAGGUGUAACGAUUUGGGCGCUGUCUCGGCAGCAGACUCGGUGAAAUCUUAGUACCUGUGAAAAUGCAGGUUACCCGCAACUAGACGGAAAGACCCCAUGGAGCUUUACUGCAGCCUGAUAUUGAAUUCUGGUCAUACAUGUACAGGAUAGGUGGGAGACAAAGAGACGUGCACGCCAGUGUACGAGGAGUCGACGUUGGGAUACCACUCUUGUGUGACCGGGGUUCUAACCUGGUAUCGAGAACAGGUACGGGGAGAGUGUCAGGUGGGCAGUUUGACUGGGGCGGUCGCCUCCCAAAGAGUAACGGAGGCGCCCAAAGGUACGCUCAGAUUGGAUGGAAACCAAUCGUCGAGUGCAAUUGCAGAAGCGUGCUUGACUGUGAGACUUACAAGUCGAACAGGGACGAAAGUCGGGAAUAGUGAUCCGGCGGUGCCGAAUGGAAGGGCCGUCGCUCAACGGAUAAAAGCUACCCUGGGGAUAACAGGCUGAUCUCGCCCAAGAGUUCACAUCGACGGGGAGGUUUGGCACCUCGAUGUCGGCUCAUCGCAUCCUGGGGCUGUA
rnacentral:rRNA from 1 species